rnacentral:rRNA from 1 species
CUACGGGCGGCUCCAGUGAGGAAUUUUCCGCAAUGGGCGAAAGCCUGACGGAGCGACGCCGUGUGUGGGAUGAAGUCCUUCGGGACGUAAACCACUGUCAGAUGGGAAGAUAUUGACGGUACCAUCAGAGGAAGGCCCGGCUAACUACGUGCCAGCAGCCGCGGUAUACGUAGGGGCCAAGCGUUGUCCGGAAUUAUUGGGCGUAAAGCGUAUGUAGGUUGUUUUUUAAGUCAGAUGUUAAAUUCCCGAGCUCAACGCGGGCCCGCAUUUGAUACUGAUUAACUAGAGAGUGGUAGAGGAAAGCGGAACUUCCGGUGUAGCGGUGAAAUGCGUAGAUAUCGGAAGGAACACCAGUGGCGAAGGCGGCUUUCUGGGCCAUUUCUGACACUGAGAUACGAAAGCUAGGGGAGCAAACGGGAUUAGAUACCCCCGUAGUC